CGAGUGAAUUGAGCAGUCGCGCCGUCAAAUCGGCGAGGAAAGUCCGGGCUCCGCAGGGCAGAGUGCUGGUUAAUGGCCAGUCGGGGUAACCUGAAGGAAAGUGCCACAGAGAUAUACCGCCCCUCGGGGUAAGGGUGAAAAGGUGAGGUAAGAGCUCACCAGCGACCUGGUGACAGGUACGGCUAGGUAAACCCCACUUGGAGCAAGACCUAAUAGGGGAGAGUUAAGAGCUGCCCGCUCGUUCUCCCGGGUUGGUCGCUAUGCGCACCUUGGUGCGAAGGAGGUCUACGGCAACGUAGAUCCUAGAUAGAUGACUGCUGCCGCGCGAGCGGUACAGAACCCGGCUUAUAGAUUCACUCGACAG
rnacentral:RNase_P_RNA from 2 species